GCGGGCCUGGCCGAACGGCAAGGCACCGGGCUUCCACCCCGUUCACAUCGGUUCGACUCCGAUGGCCCGCU
rnacentral:tRNA from 1 species